AAGGCUUCUCUGCCUUUUGGCUAAGAUCAAGUAUAGUAUCUGUUGUUAUCAAUUUACUAUGUGAUACGUCCUCUGUCCAAGGACAGUAUAUUCAAUGGGUUUUUAGAAUUAGGAGAUGGAAUGGGAGUUUGCUUCAUCCUUUCCACAUACCGACCUGGUGUUGUAGUACUUCCAGGAAUGGCACACCUUCU